rnacentral:rRNA from 1 species
UCGGGAAUUUUGGGCAAUGGGCGAAAGCCUGACCCAGCAACGCCGCGUGAGGGAUGAAGUAUUUCGGUAUGUAAACCUCGAAAGAAUGGGAAGAAUAAAUGACGGUACCAUUUAUAAGCUCCGGCUAACUACGUGCUAGCAGCCGCGGUAAUACGUAGGGAGCAAGCGUUGUUCGGAUUUACUGGGCGUAAAGGGCGCGUAGGCGGCGCGGUAAGUCACUUGUGAGAUCUCUGAGCUUAACUCAGAACGGCCAAGUGAUACUGCUGUGCUAGAGUGCGGAAGAGGCAACCGGAAUUCUUGGUGUAGCGGUGAAAUGCGUAGAUAUCAAGAGGAACACCUGAGGCGAAGGCGGGUUGCUGGGCCGACACUGACGCUGAUGCGCGAAAGCCAGGGGAGCAAACG